rnacentral:rRNA from 1 species
UACAGAGGUCUCAAGCGUUGUUCGGAUUCAUUGGGCGUAAAGGGUGCGUAGGUGGCGCGCUAAGUCAGGUGUGAAAUUUCGGAGCUUAACUCCGAAACUGCAUUUGAUACUGGCGUGCUUGAGGACUGGAGAGGAGACUGGAAUUCACGGUGUAGCAGUGAAAUGCGUAGAGAUCGUGAGGAAGACCAGUGGCGAAGGCGGGUCUCUGGACAGUUCCUGACACUGAGGCAGCGAAGGCCAGGGGAGCAAAACGGG